AUAGGGUGGGAUGUCAAAUGAGCUUUACAAUACAAUUGCACGUGUAACUGAUGGAAUUUAUGAAGGCAUUGCAAUUGGCGGAGAUGUUUUUCCUGGUUCAACACUUUCUGAUCAUGUCAUUCGGUUUAAUAAUAUUCCUCAGGU